rnacentral:rRNA from 1 species
UACGGAGGAUGCAAGCGUUAUCCGGAUUUAUUGGGUUUAAAGGGUGCGCAGGUUGUUUGAUAAGUCAGUGGUGAAAGUCUGUCGCUUAACGGUAGGAUUGCCACUGAUACUGUUAGACUUGAAUAUGGAUGAGGUAGGCGGAAUGUGUAGUGUAGCGGUGAAAUGCAUAGAUAUUACACAGAACACCGAUUGCGAAGGCAGCUUACUAAUCCAUCAUUGACGCUGAGGCACGAAAGCGUGGGGAUCAAACA